GAUGAACGCUGGCGGCGUGCCUAAUACAUGCAAGUCGAGCGAACAGACGAGAAGCUUGCUCCUCUGACGUUAGCGGCUGACGGGUGAGUAACACGUGGAUAACCUACCUAUUAGACUGGGAUAACUUCGGGAAACCGGAGCUACUACCGGCUAAUAUAUUGAACCGCUUGGUUCAAUAGUGCAUGACGGUUUUGCUGUCUCUUUUAGAUGGAUCCGCGUCGCAUUAGCUAGUUGGUAAGGUAACGGCUUACCAAGGCGACGAUGCGUAGCCGACCUGAGAGGGUGAUCAGCCACACUGGAACUGAGACACGGUCCAGACUCCUACGGGAGGCAGCAGUAGGGAAUCUUCCACAAUGGGCGAAAGCCUGACGGAGCAACGCCGCGUGAGUGAAGAAGGUCUUCGGAUCGUAAAACUCUGUUAUUAGGGAAGAAAAAAUGUGUAAGUAACUAUGCACGUCUUGACGGUACCUAAUCAGAAAGCCACGGCUAACUACGUG
rnacentral:rRNA from 1 species